AGAGUUUGAUCCUGGCUCAGAACGAACGCUGGCGGCAUGCCUAACACAUGCAAGUCGAACGAACCCUUCGGGGUUAGUGGCGCACGGGUGCGUAACGCGUGGGAAUCUGCCCUUUGCUUCGGAAUAACAGUUAGAAAUGACUGCUAAUACCGGAUGAUGUCUUCGGACCAAAGAUUUAUCGGCAAAGGAUGAGCCCGCGUAGGAUUAGGUAGUUGGUGGGGUAAAGGCCUACCAAGCCGACGAUCCUUAGCUGGUCUGAGAGGAUGAUCAGCCACACUGGGACUGAGACACGGCCCAGACUCCUACGGGAGGCAGCAGUGGGGAAUAUUGGACAAUGGACGCAAGUCUGAUCCAGCAAUGCCGCGUGAGUGAUGAAGGCCUUAGGGUUGUAAAGCUCUUUUACCAGGGAUGAUAAUGACAGUACCUGGAGAAUAAGCUCCGGCUAACUCCGUGCCAGCAGCCGCGGUAAUACGGAGGGAGCUAGCGUUGUUCGGAAUUACUGGGCGUAAAGCGCACGUAGGCGGUUACUCAAGUCAGAGGUGAAAGCCCGGGGCUCAACC
rnacentral:rRNA from 1 species